UUGGAAAGAACUCUUACAUGUACCGAAACUCUCUAAAUUGAAGCAAAUCCAUUUUUGCAAUGCAGCGUCUUCUUACAUUGGUAGUUGGCGGUAUUAUUGGGUACCUUAUCGCCAAGAACGUACGUUAAGGAAAUCACUAUUUUUUCAGCGGUUUCACAAACGAAGCACGAAGCAUGACUCACGUCAUUUCAUUUGCUUUAGGCGUUAUUAUCGGAAUGUUAAUGUGCCGUCGUUGCGGUGGGCCCUAAGAAGCAACUGGUAACUGAAUCAUGCUGAAAAACAACUCAAACUUUACCGCUAUGGUCUACCUAUAUAGCUAAUAAAUCUGAAUGCAUUCAAUCUAAAAUUCAAUCAA